rnacentral:rRNA from 1 species
UACGGAAGGUGCAAGCAUUAAUCGGAUUUAUUGGGCGUAAAGGGCGCGUAGGCGGGUCAGCAAGUUAGAUGUGAAAUUUCGGGGCUUAACCCCGAAGCUGCAUUUAAAACUACUGAUCUUGAGGGUAGGCGGAGAAAAUGGAAUUCCACGUGUAGCGGUGAAAUGCGUAGAUACGUGGAGGAACACCGGUGGCGAAAGCGGUUUUCUAGCUUAUACCUGACGCUGAGGCGCGAGAGCAAGGGGAGCAAAC